GUUCCUCUUUUAUUUCAAUCUCUUAUUUGUCAUUUGGACCCACAUUUUCUAACUGUACCUCAAAUACACACAGUCCCAGCCCUCCUCAUCAGUUUCAUAACAAGUCUAUGACUCCCUUCAACCAGAUACAAGUUACAGUGUCCUUAGCUAUUGUGAUGUGCCCUGUGCUGUAGCUCAGUAGCUAAGGUAUUGCCCUUUCACACUGGCAGUCAGAUUUGAUUCCCUACUUAGAAGCUCUGCAAUUAAAGUUUCACUGGAGAGCAACCUGUGUUUUUAAUCUC
rnacentral:lncRNA from 1 species